AGCGAACGCUGGCGGCAGGCCUAACACAUGCAAGUCGAACGAACUCUUCGGAGUUAGUGGCGGACGGGUGAGUAACACGUGGGAACGUGCCUUUAGGUUCGGAAUAACUCAGGAAAACUUGUGCUAAUACCGAAUGUGCCCUUCGGGGGAAAGAUUUAUCGCCUUUAGAGCGGCCCGCGUCUGAUUAGAUAGUUGGUGAGGUAAAGGCUCACCAAGGCGACGAUCAGUAGCUGGUCUGAGAGGAUGAUCAGCCACAUUGGGACUGAGACACGGCCCAAACUCCUACGGGAGGCAGCAGUGGGGAAUCUUGCGCAAUGGGCGAAAGCCUGACGCAGCCAUGCCGCGUGAAUGAUGAAGGUCUUAGGAUUGUAAAAUUCUUUCACCGGGGACGAUAAUGACGGUACCCGGAGAAGAAGCCCCGGCUAACUUCGUGCCAGCAGCCGCAGUAA
rnacentral:rRNA from 1 species